GAUGAACGCUGGCGGCGUGCCUAAUACAUGCAAGUCGAGCGAAUGGAUUAAGAGCUUGCUCUUAUGAAGUUAGCGGCGGACGGGUGGGUAACUCGUGGGUAACCUGCCAAUAAGACUGGGAUAACUCCGGGAAACCGGGGCUAAUACCGGAUAACAUUUUGAACCGCAUGGUUCGAAAUUGAAAGGCGGCUUCGGCUGUCACUUAUGGAUGGACCCGCGUCGCAUUAGCUAGUCGGUGAGGUAACGGCUCACCAAGGCAACGAUGCGUAGCCGACAGGAGGGGGUGGUCGGCCACACUGGGACUGAGACACGGCCCAGGCUACUACGGGAUGCAGCAGUAGGGAAUCUGCCGCAAUGUACGAAAUUCUGACGGGGCAAGGCCGCGUGAGUGAUGAAGGCUUUCGGGUCGUAAAACUCUGUUGUUAGGGAAGAACAAGUGCUAGUUGAAUAAGCUGGCACCUUGACGGUACCUAACCAGAAAGCCACGGCUAACUACGUGCCAGCCGCCGCAGUAA
rnacentral:rRNA from 1 species